GAAUUGCGCCGCUUGGACUAGGGUUAGGGUUUUAAAGAAAGCCGCCACUUUAUGCCCCUCGUAGUCUAUAAAACUUGUACAUCGCAAGCUUCAUCUCGGUAGGUAUUAAUCUUUCUGUAUUAUUUAUAUUUUCGUCUGCAUUUCUUCCAUUUUUCAUCUGUAAUUUUUUCUGCACUGAAUCUGUAAAUACAUGUAUAUUUAUGUUGUGUAUAUGUAUUAUUAUGACAGGAAAGGUUUUGUCAUUGUGGAAGAUCAGGUUGAUGAAUCUGUUACAUCCAACAACUCGGCAGAUAUUUCAGAUGAGGAUAUAUCAGAGACAAAUCCAGAGAACUUAUCAAUUCCUUAAUCCUCUACCAGCAGCUUACUUUGAAUUUGAAUGUUCCUUAAUUAUAGGAUUGUAGUUAGUCUCAAUUUCUAUAUAAGAGACUGCAUGAUUGUAAGUUCAACAUACAAAAAUAUAAAUUAUUCUCAUUGUCUAUAGCCAUUGAUCAAACAACCAAUCUCUACUAGAAAUUGGGCCUUCAGACCUUCGUAAACCUCUCCACCAAUUUCUACAACAGGUUGGCAAAAUGGCAGAGCUGGGGAUAUCCGAGUCAUUCAAGACAAUUAUUUUAAUGGUCGACGAAGUCAUCACUUGUGCCCCAUGGCAGAGAGAAGACAGAAUGUGAAGAAAUGCUUUAUUUAUAAGUGAAACUCAAGACAAUUAUUGCAAUGCUUUGUAUUUGUCUGUCGUGAAUCAGAUGGAAUGUCUUUGUUGAAGAACAGAGCCAUACUGAUUCUUUUGAAUGUUGAAAAUUUUGUGGGAUGUUAGCAUAUUUUGUUCCCUACAAUUCAAAUGCAGUUUAAAAUUCAUUUUUGCCCCCUUAUUACGAAGAUUUUAGUAUUAUGGGUGUAUUUAGUAUUUACUUGGCAGACUUUUUUUAUUCGAAAAUUAUAAAUGCUUC